CACGUAGGGAGCAAGCGUUGUCCGGAUUUAUUGGGCGUAAGGAGCUCGUAGGUGGUUCGGUAAGUCAGGUGUGAAACCUCCAGGCUCAACCUGGAGACGCCACUUGAUACUGCUGUGACUGGAGUCCGGUAGGGGAGCGUGGAAUUCCUGGUGUAGCGGUGAAAUGCGCAGAUAUCAGGAGGAACACCAAUUGCGAAGGCAGCUCGCUGGGACGUUACUGACGCUGAGACGCGAAAGCGUGGGGAGCAAACAGG
rnacentral:rRNA from 1 species